rnacentral:rRNA from 1 species
GAUGAACGCUGGCGGCGUGCCUAAUACAUGCAAGUCGAGCGAACAGACGAGGAGCUUGCUCCUCUGACGUUAGCGGCGGACGGGUGAGUAACACGUGGAUAACCUACCUAUAAGACUGGGAUAACUUCGGGAAACCGGAGCUAAUACCGGAUAAUAUAUUGAACCGCAUGGUUCAAUAGUGAAAGACGGUUUUGCUGUCACUUAUAGAUGGAUCCGCGCCGCAUUAGCUAGUUGGUAAGGUAACGGCUUACCAAGGCAACGAUGCGUAGCCGACCUGAGAGGGUGAUCGGCCACACUGGAACUGAGACACGGUCCAGACUCCUACGGGAGGCAGCAGUAGGGAAUCUUCCGCAAUGGGAGAAAGCAUGACGGAGCAACGCCGCGUGAGUGAUGAAGGUCUUCGGAUCGUAAAACUCUGUUAUUAGGAAAGAACAAAUGUGUAAGUAACGAUGCACGUCUUGACGGUACCUAAUCAGAAAGCCACGGCUAACUACGU